rnacentral:misc_RNA from 1 species
UCCGGUUUGACACCGGCAGUCCCCUUAGAGUCCUCGGCAUAACCCGUUAGUAACUAAGGGCAAAGGUUUCGCUCGUUAAGGGACUUAACCCGACAUCUCACGACACGAGCUGACGACAGCCAUGCAGCACCUGUGCAUUUCGCGUAUUGCUACGCCAUCGACUUUCAUCGACUGAACAAUGCAUGUCAAGCCCAGGUAAGGUUCUGCGCGUUGCUUCGAAUUGAACCACAUGCUCCACCGCUUGUGUGAGCCCCCGUCAAUUCCUUUGAGUUUUAGCCUUGCGACCGUACUUCCCAGGCGGUCCACUUAACACUUUUGCUUCGACCGUGACGGCGUCAGAGCCACCACAAUCUAGUGGACAUCGUUUAGGGCCAGGACUAC